rnacentral:lncRNA from 1 species
UUAAUUUCUAAAAAUUAACUAAAACUAAUGAUUAUUUAUUAUUUUCAAAGUACUUUUCUUUUUAAGAAAAAUAAAAUGUGUAUAAGAAAGAGUAUAAAUAUGUGUACUGACAAAAAAAUGUAAAAUCUAAAGUAUUAAAAUAGAUAAAGUAAUAGAGAUAAACUAAAAAAACUAUAAAAAAGAAGAAGCAAACAAGCAUGGUGCAUGGGUCUGUAGGGGCGUAUGCCAAGAAAAAGGGUGCAGGGCCCAACAUCAGAAGGCCCACGGUGGCAUUAGUUGAGUCAGACCAGAGAGGGGGGUGUCAAAGAAAUUCCAGGGGUACAUGGAAGUAAGGCCUUUGAGCCUGGUCAGAGGCCCACACGCUGGGAGAAAAGGGGAAUGAAUCAAAACCAAUCCCUCAUUUCAAUUUCACUACGAACCAAACCUUAACUCAUACCUCUCUCUCUCUCUCUCUCUCUCUCUCUCUUAGGCCCACACGCUGGGAGAAAAGGGGAAUGAAUCAAAACCAAUCCCUCAUUUCAAUUUCACUACGAACCAAACCUUAACUCAUACCUCUCUCUCUCUCUCUCUCUCUCUCUCUCUCUCUCUCUCUCUUUUCGUACCGAAAAUCGCUCCACCACACCGGAGGCAGUGGAGUAGCGUAGAAAUGGCCAUAGCCAUUAUCAUCAAAACCACCUUAUUCUUAUAUCCCUACUUAUUAUCUUGAUUUCAUCUAAUUAUCAAAGAUACUCUUUAUCCCUCAUGAUUUUAUCAAGAACCCUAAAAAUCAAAACAAUAAUUAACUGGUGUUAGGGAGGUAUCAGAGCCUAAAACUUUAGGACUUUGAUUCCCCACAUUUGAAACUACAUUAUGGUAACCAACUUGGGGCCAAAGAAGAUGGAUUAGAGGGAGCUACCAACCUACAAGGUCGAUGUGUACCCUGGAAUAUGUUGAAGGUUGAAGAAGACAAUAAGAACAUAGAUGUGUAUCCAGGUAAAUGAUCCAUUCAUUGACCUCUUUUGAUAGUAACUUCUUCUUCUUCUUCAGAUGGGCUGUAGGAGCUUGAAUUUGUGAUAUUGUUGUUGUUGUUGUUGUUGCGCGGGGAGUAUAGAGUUUAGUAGAGGUUGAGCUUAAUUGUAGAAGCUUCAAGGUGAAGCUUUCUCAAUGAUGGUGGAACUUGUUCUUUUGGUGAGUGGUGAGGAAGGAGAUUGGAUGCAGGGAGUGAUAAGAGUGAUAAAUUAUGCAGAGUGUGAUCCCCUCAGAUUGAAGUGUGAAUGAGAUUAUAUAAAUUAGUUAGAUUGUAACAAACUCGGGAAAUUAGGGUAGAAUUUGUUAGAGGUUAGGGCAGGAUUAAAGUUAGUUGAGUUCAAAGAGAAAGUUAGUUGGUGAUUUCACUAUGUUAAUGUUGUUGUUAGUUUAAUUAGGUUUUGAAUUUUUUUAGUUAAUGAAUGAAGAUGUUAGAAUGAGUUAGUUAGGUUGUUAGUUGAUAUGUUAGUGAAAGUUAGUUAACUAGUUAAUUGGUUAGUGUGAAUGUUGGAAACUUUGCAAUUGGAAGGUUAAUUGGGGGUUAAAAUUAGUUAAUGUUUGAAAUUCGACUUUUAAUUUGUUGAAAUGUGAGAAUGUGUUAGGGGCCGUUACUGAGUUAAUAGUGUGAAUUAGGCUUGAAGAUAUUAGUUAUGUGUUAGGGUGGUUAUGAAAUAGUUAGUUAGAUUGAAUUCAAUAGACUAAAAAUUAACUGUUAUGAGAUUUGUUGUUAUGAAAUUAGUAGGUUAUGAGAUGAACAAUACCAAUUGAGAUUUGACAUUAAAGUUAGAUGCUAAUGGCAACAGUAUGCUGACUGAAAUGGUGUAUCAAGUUGAUGUUAAGAUAUGUUAAUUUCGUUGGUUUGGAAUUGACGUUAGAUUGAAUUGUGACUGAGUUAGUAUUGCUAAGUUAUGCUAACCCGUUAGUGAAUUAAAGACAAAUAAUUGAUUGUUAUGGCAUGUUUGUGUUGUUUUGAUUUGUUAGAAUUGUUAGUAAUUUUUACAUGUUAGUGUGCUAAUUUGCUUGCUAUGUAUUUUGAAAUUAACUUGAUUUGUCAUGGAAUGUGGUUUAUUUUGGCUAAUGAAAUGAUUGUGUGGAUUGUCAUUGAAUGAUCAUUAUGGUUUGUAUGACAGUUGAGAUUGAUAUGUAUGCUAGAUUAUUUUAGGUUAUAGAUUUCUUUGAAAUAAUGAAUGUAUAAUGUAGGUAUGUGUAGGCUAUGAAUUGUUGUGUCUAUAUGCAUUGUACUUUUACGACAAUCACUUUAACUAAGUGUAUCUCAAUGUAUGCAUUUCCUAGUGUUUGAAAUAACAUGGUGUGGUGGAUGUUGAUAUUGCAGGGUUGUCUUGGGCUUAUCUUGAAGAUGAUGGCAUGAAGGUUCUUUUGGUAUGAGACUUGAACAUGAGCAAAACAUGGCAUGAUGCACCAUAAUAAAGAUUGGUGACUUAGAGAUCAAAUUGGGAACCAUGAAGAUGAAGAAGGGAAUAGGUUCAGGGUUGAGUUAACUUUGGGCAACUAUUUGACCAAAAAGUCAACAGUUGAUCUAAAGUCAACCUUAGGUCAAAAAUUGGGUUUUCUUUGUGUAAUCUGAAUUAUGCAUUUUGUAAUGUAAUAUUUUGAUGUUUUGAAUGUAGGAUUCACCAUUAUAUGUAACUUAUGACUUAUGCCUUAAGUAAAAUAGAACUUCUCCCUCCAUAUUUGAAAAUUUGAAUUUUGGCUCUUUUAUAAUUUGAAUGAAAUACCUUGAUCAAUAGAACAAAUGAACCAUCAACAACUA